rnacentral:lncRNA from 1 species
UUGAUUCUAUCACAAGUCAAACGGAAAACAGGGUAUGAAAUCUUAACAAGCGAUUAACGACAUUGUCAAGACAUUCAUUUGUAACUUUAUUCAGAAACCGAAACAGACAAAGCCUGAUCCUUAAAAGCUAAAAUGAAACUGAAACUCUGAACUUCUGAAUUCCAACAGCAUAGAUGUUGUAACUUCUACAUGAUGGCAAUGCAUUAGAGUUAGCAGAAUCAUAUUUGAACUCAACGGGGGAAGUGCAAUGAUCCAGCGUCAAGUGCAUAUCAAACUUCAUAGUGUUCACUUCAGAGUUUUCAGCAUCGAAACAAUUCUCACGUUCCUGGUUAGCGGCAAAGAUGAUCUCGCCAUGGUGACACCUUGAAAUAACACCUGCAGAAGCUGAAAUACAAGACAUGAAAAUUCACAAUAAUGAUUUUUUUUUACAAAUUGUUCUUAAUAUUGGCAACAUCUAAUAAUUUAGUUGCACUGAAAGAACAUAGAAAACAAUUACAGUUUAACUCUAUAAUUUUUCUUGUAAGCAAGAAAUGGGUACACAAAUGCUUUAAUCACCAUACUUGUUCUUUAUUUUCUGUAACCUACAAAUCCAAAAAAUUUACAAUUAAAUAACAAAAAAAGAUCACACUCAUCAAUCUUAUUCUCCGUUCUUUCACUGAAAAAAAUAUAUCAGAAAUUGAGUCCCUUCUAUUCGGGGACAUCCGAUAAAAUCAGAAAUUGAAGUACUCACCUUGCUGCUGCCUGCUGAGUGCCCAAUGUUGAUGCAGUGAUGCUACGGUCAGUGCUACUCGCUCGCGCCAUCGCUCGGAGGCGUGGAGUGUGCCGCCUGCCGGCGUGUGCUGUGUGCGGCCGUGGCUGCCGGAUUCGGGAGCUGCCGUGCCUGCUGACGAUGACUGGGCAAGACGAGCAUGAUUGCCGGAUGGCCGGUCGGGCGCUGCGCCUGCGGCGUGGCAGUCCUCGGGUCGGCGGCAGGGAAGAAGGGGCGGCGGCGCGGUGGCGCUCCGCUCGACGAUCUUUUUUUUAUAGAACUCCACUCGACAGCCUGAGGCAGGGAGCUCUUUUUUUUUUUGGAGAAUCGGCAGGGAGCUCACCUGGUUCGCGUUUCUGAGUGGGGCUCCAUACAGGACGG